GCCUGUUUAUCAAAAACAUCACCUCUAGCAUCACCAGUAUUAGAGGCACCGCCUGCCCAGUGACACAUGUUUAACGGCCGCGGUACCCUAACCGUGCAAAGGUAGCAUAAUCACUUGUUCYUCGCCUGUUUAUCAAAAACAUAGCCUAUUUCUUAACUUAGGUAUAACCCUGCCCUCUGAAUUUUAACAGCCGCGGUAUCCUAACCGUGCUAAGGUAGCAUAAUCAUUUGCCUAUUAAUUAUAGGCUAGCAUGAAUGGGAUUACUCACUUAAAUUUAUUUUCAUUACAAUUAAAAUUAAACUUUAAGUUAAAAUACUAAAUUUUUAAGAAAGACAAAAAGACCCUGAAAACUAUUAGAAGAUAAUUAGUUGGGGCAACUAUAGACCACUACAGCGUCUAUUAAAAUAAGAAUUCUAAAAUUCAAAGCAUACAGUUACUUCAGGGAUAACAGACUAAUUGUAUUAUUUAGACCUAAUAAAUAAUAAAGAUUGGCACCUCGAUGUUGGCUUAUAAUUCCUUCAUAUAGUAACAUAUAUUGAAGGCAGCUUGUUCAUCUGAUAAAUAUUUACAUGAGCUGAGUUCAGACCGGCGUAAGCAAAACAAUAGGGUUUACGACCUCGAUGUUGGAUCAGGACAUCCCAAUGGUGCAGCCGCUAUUAAAGGUUCGUUUGUUCAACGAUUAAAGUCCUACGUGAUCUGAGUUCAGAC
rnacentral:rRNA from 1 species